rnacentral:rRNA from 1 species
AGUGAACGCUGGCGGUAGGCCUAACACAUGCAAGUCGAACGGCAGCACAGGAGAGCUUGCUCUCUGGGUGGCGAGUGGCGGACGGGUGAGGAAUACAUCGGAAUCUACCUUUUCGUGGGGGAUAACGUAGGGAAACUUACGCUAAUACCGCAUAAGACCUUCGGGUGAAAGUGGGGGACCUUCGGGCCUCACGCGGAUAGAUGAGCCGAUGUCGGAUUAGCUUGUUGGCGGGGUAAAAGCCCACCAAGGCGACGAUCCGUAGCUGGUCUGAGAGGAUGAUCAGCCACACUGGAACUGAGACACGGUCCAGACUCCUACGGGAGGCAGCAGUGGGGAAUAUUGGACAAUGGGCGCAAGCCUGAUCCAGCCAUACCGCGUGGGUGAAGAAGGCCUUCGGGUUGUAAAGCCCUUUUGUUGGGAAAGAAAUCCUGCCGGUUAAUAACCAGUAGGGAUGACGGUACCCAAAGAAUAAGCACCGGCUAACUUCGUG